GGCAAGAUGGCCGAGUGGUCUAAGGCGCUGUGUUCAGGAGAUCCUCAGUCUCGUCGCAGUCUUCGGGCGUGGGUUCGAAUCCCACUCUUGUCA
rnacentral:tRNA from 1 species